GACGAACGCUGGCGGCGUGCCUAAUACAUGCAAGUCGAGCGAACGGACGAGAAGCUUGCUUCUCUGAUGUUAGCGGCGGACGGGUGUGUAACACGUGGAUAACCUACCUAUAAUACUGGGAUAACUUCGGGAAACCGGAGCUAAUACCGGAUAAUAUUUUGCACCGCAUGGUUCAAAAGUGAAAGACGGUCUUGCUGUCACUUAUAGAUGGAUCCGCGCUGCAUUAGCUAGUUGGUAGGUUAACGGCUUACCAAGGCUACCAUGCAUAGCCGACCUGAGAGAGUGAUCGGCCACAUGGGAGCGGAGCCACCGUCAAGACUCCUGCGAGAGGCAGCAGAAGGGAAUGGGACGCAGCAGUGGAGAGUCUUGCGGAGCGACGCCGCGUGAGAGAUGACAGUGUUCGGAUCGUAAUGAUCUGUUAUGGGGGGAGAACAGCUGUGUAAGGAGCUGAGCCGAUCGUGACGGUACUUAAUAAGAAAGCAACGGCUAACUACGUG
rnacentral:rRNA from 1 species